rnacentral:lncRNA from 1 species
AACUUCCACACUACGUCCACGUGAAAAUUGAAAUUAAGAAAGAAUAUAAGAUGACUGCAUCACAAUCAAGUCAUAAAAUAUAAAAAAUAGUUGGGAUCCAGAGGCCAAUAAAUUUGUGGUCUGAGGCAAGAUGGAAGUGCAAUUUGCUCUUCAACUUUAUCAUUGUUGCAUAUUUUGCUAACAGAUCUCCUUUUCAGGAUAGCAGCUAUGGAUAACAGCGGAAGCAACGCACGCAAGUCAGAACAGGAAAAAGCACUGCCAGAGGUAAAUAGAACGAAGGAUCAGCCAGAGGAAAUUCAAACCGAUAAAAAAGUCAAUGAACCGGUAACUGUGAUCGAGGAGGCUACGCACAAAUCCACUGAGGCAGAUGGUGGUGAUGGCGAUGAUGAUAUCACAUCAACUGAUCUAGAAGAAAUCAUUGGUCGACCUGCGACCGAAGCUUAUGUUGAAGACUCUUCUAGAACUGAAAAAACAUCAAGAGAGAAUGAAGACAGGGCAAAGUAGAAGAAUGUGAAAAGAAAUAAAUAUCUGCUUAUAAAAAUUAAAGCAGGUAAUUGCUUUUGUGUUGAAGAUUGUCUAUGUAUUUAAACAUUGCAAAUAAAUCAGGAGGGUUCAUGUUAUUUCAAAUUUGGAUUUUUUGGUGUGUGUUUUCUUUUUCUUUCAUUGCCUUUGAUUUUUAAGUUUUGACAACUUGAAACGCUAACUUUUCUCUUCAAUUUUUUCAAUUUAUAGUUGGUUCUGUUAUUCUUACCUAAGAAUAAACUUUGGUUAAUGAAAGGAGUUAAUUUGAUGAAUAAAUGGGCUUUGAUUUGGUGGAAAUAAAGAAAGCUAAGCUCACCGGGGGUUAACUAUGGAGGAAAUUCAUCCAGCAUUAAAAGUGGAAGAUGAGGCCUUCUUUUGGCUUAUUCAUCCUUAUUAGGUAUAGUUAAAAGACAAAUGUAGUGCUAGGAUGUUAACAUACUGUAUUUCAAGUGUUAGGGUUGAAUUUUAUUUUUAAACUUUUCAUACUCACAGUUUAACCUACUAAAUUCUUUAUUAUGUUUCAAUUUAGUUUUUAGAUUUUCAAUAUUCAUUGACCUAUAAAAAUUACACUUUUAGCCUUUAACAAACAUCUCAAGCUAAUACGUCAAGAAAACCCUAAGCAUCUCCGAAAUUGUGCCUUUAAUUCGCUAACCACACUAUCUAAUUUAUUUUUAGAUACAUUCGUUUCUUUAAUUGAGGUUUCUAUAAUUAAAUUAUUAGCACUUGAAAAUAUUAAAAUAUUAUUAUAGGUCAUUUUCACUUGAGCUCUAUCUUUACAUGUUUAACUCUAUAUACAAUGCAAAAAGAACUUCUAAAUACAACUUUUGAUAUUUUAUCAAUAGGUGAGUCGUGU